UCUCUGGCUCGUUCCACGCGUGAUCGUUGGACAUGGGAAACAAAGCGGCACGGUGUACGGGCCGCGCGAACGGUGGCGGCCAAUGUUUUCGAAGAAAUCGUGGAGGAGAGACGGAGAUGCGGACGGACGUGGACGGUUAACCGGCAAAUCGGUACCUGGCCGUUUAAGAGAAGUACACCUGGCGUAGGUGGAUGUAGGUGCGAAUGCCACGACAGAGGAGUUGGUGGCCUUGAUGACAACAGAAGUAUCCUUUCCAAGCUAGGGUCAUCCUGUGGGCCUCGAACUGUCAACGACCCGUACACGCCGUCCGCUUGCUGUGAAACUAAUAAUACAACAUCAUUAUAAUACUCGGACCACUUUAAUGAUUAAUUGAAAACUUUGUAUGUAGUUGAUUAUUUCGCAUUUACCGAAGAACGAUAACUGCCCGAAUUAAUCCUUGAACAGCGGAGUCUGGUCAAUCGUGACCCAAACUUAAAUACAUCAUUUUUAAACGAAAGGGUUUCAUAUACUGGAAGGAUAAUUUUCAAAGAAACAGUGUAAAAUUUACAAAAUUAAAUUAAUUAAUUAAUUAAUUAGCGCUCUCUCCAUGGUCCGCCGUUCGAGAAUUAUAAAAUUACACUUAGUAAGUGAAAUUGGGUCGCGAAAAAUAUUAAAUAAGAUUUUAUGGUAUUGAAAAGCAUACAAACGAUUACAAAUUUGUAACUGUAUACUAUUUUAUUUAUAAGUUUGAUUUUUAUCAAUGCUAGUAAGCGGCCGUAUUCUUGCAACUUUAUUGAUCCGCUCAAUCUUGCUUUAUUUGAUUGAUUCGUAGAUCAGUACGAUUUUCUAAAAGAUCGAUUAUCUAAUUAAAAAUAAAUAUAUAUGUUUCAUAAAA